rnacentral:rRNA from 1 species
GACGAACGCUGGCGGCGUGCUUAACACAUGCAAGUCGAACGAAGUGGCGAACGGGUGAGUAACGCGUAAUCAACCUGCCCUUCAGAGGGGGACAACAGUUGGAAACGACUGCUAAUACCGCAUACGGAAGGAGGGGAUGGCGUCGGAUUAGCUGGUUGGAGGGGUAACGGCCCACCAAGGCGAGGAGCAGUAGCCGGUCGGGGAGGCUGAACGGCCACAUUGGGACUGAGACACCGCCCAGACGCCUACGGGAGGCAGCAGUGGGGAAUCUUCCGCAAUGGACGAAAGUCUGACGGAGCAACGCCGCGUGAGUGAUGACGGCCUUCGGGUUGUAAAGCUCUGUUAAUCGGGACGCGGUACCGGAAUAGAAAGCCACGGCUAACUACGUGCCAGCAGCCGCGGUAAUUC